GCUGGGGAAGACCAUUGAGCAUAUCCCUCUCCCGAUAGUAGAAAUAGAACCAUCUAGCACUAUGGAAACGGUAGAGAGGAAGCUCCCAUGUUGGUAUCAGCUUGAUUUCUCCAUGCCCCGCGCCUCAGGUAUACAAGGCCUACAGAAAAAUGGAUAGGACGAGAAAAGAAAUUCCCCUACAACAUAUGGUCAAAACAUCAAAAACACAAACUAAAAGGUUAUUGAAAAGCUACAAAGGUUGGGUCCCUUAUAAAGUCUGGCCCAUUAGAACAACAACCAAUUAUUUGACAGAGACUUUGAAGGCCAGAAACACCUAGGAAGAUGUAUUCCAAGGACUGAAAGAAAGCAAAAGAUGUCUACAGAAAUGCCACAAAAUCUACAAAACGACAUGAAUCGAGACACAACUGAAUACUCGCCGAAUAUCAAUAUUCUCAAUGCCUCCAAUAAAUAGUCACAGACUCACAGAUGGGUAUAGGAAACAGGAGCCUUCUCCUUACUGCCUCCAAGAAACACAUCUUGCCAUCAACAGUAGAUACUAUCUCAGAUUAAAAGGAUAGAAAGUUAUCCCAAGCAAAUACAACCAGGAAACAAGCAGACAUUGCUAGUCUAAUAGCUGCUUUAAAAAUAGACAGAAUCAAAACUCACAAGAAAAGAUAAGAGUCACUUCAUAGUGAUGAAAGGAACAGUUCACCAAGAAGACAUUGCAAUUCUAAACAUGUACCCACUUUCAUAGAGCAAAUGCUACCAGAUCCAAGCCCCCAGCAUGGUGAUAGUGGGGGGCUUCAGUACCCCACCCUCACCAAUAGACAAAGUAUCCACAUGUUAAAAAGUAACUAGAGAAACACUGAAGUGAAGAUGUUGCAUGUCGUCCAGCGGCUUGGGAGGAACGGGAUAUGGCUGAAGCGGCAGAAUCAAGCUGAAAGAAAGGGAACUAGACAGAUGAGAGAAAGAAUGGAGCUAAGACAACAAGGUUCUGAUCAAAGCUCCAUUUUACUGUUCAGAGCACCGGGUUAUGAAGAAGGGGGAAGGAGCCCAUUCCCACCAAAUCAUCCUUGGAGUCCAGUUGCAGUCCGGAACAGCUAGGCGGCAGGUAGCAGCAGUGGGAGUGGCAGACCGAUUUCAGGCUUGGGGGGGGGGGGCGGUACAUGAAGAGACAUCAUGAAUCAAAUGGACCUAGCAGUUAUCGACAGAGCAUUUUACCCCAACACUGAAGAAUACACUAGAAUUUAACAAAGAAUGAACAAACUCUUGAGGUCACGAUGCAGUCCUAAGAGGGAAGCUAACUGCCUACAUUAGAAUGUUUGAGAUAAAUCAAAACUCAAGGAUACGCUUCAAUGUGUUGGAAUAACAAUGAGGAAAAUUAAGCAGCAGACAGGAAGGAUCAUUGAAAACUAGGGCAGAGAGUCAUGAAAUAUAAAAAAAUAGAAUCAAUGAAACAAAAAAUGGUUCUGGGCUAGAGAGAUGGCUCAAUGGUUAUAAGCACUGGCUACUAUGCCAGAGGUCCUGAGUUCUAUUCCCAGCAACCACAUGGUGGCUCACAACCAUCUGUAAUGGCAUCCAAUUCUUUCUUCUCAUGUGUCUGAAGACAACUACAGUGUAUUCAUAUACAUAAAUUAAU
rnacentral:lncRNA from 1 species